rnacentral:rRNA from 1 species
GACGAACGCUGGCGGCGUGCUUAACACAUGCAAGUCGAACGCUGAAGCCCAGCUUGCUGGGUGGAUGAGUGGCGAACGGGUGAGUAACACGUGAGUAACCUGCCCCCUUCUUUGGGAUAACGCCCGGAAACGGGUGCUAAUACUGGAUAUUCACUGGCCUUCGCAUGGGGGUUGGUGGAAAGGUUUUUUCUGGUGGGGGAUGGGCUCGCGGCCUAUCAGCUUGUUGGUGGGGUGAUGGCCUACCAAGGCUUUGACGGGUAGCCGGCCUGAGAGGGUGACCGGUCACAUUGGGACUGAGAUACGGCCCAGACUCCUACGGGAGGCAGCAGUGGGGAAUAUUGCACAAUGGGCGAAAGCCUGAUGCAGCGACGCCGCGUGAGGGAUGACGGCCUUCGGGUUGUAAACCUCUUUCGCUCAUGGUCAAGCCGCAGCUUUGGGUUGUGGUGAGGGUAGUGGGUAAAGAAGCGCCGGCUAACUACGUGCCAGCAGCCGCGGUAAUACGUAGGGCGCGAGCGUUGUCCGGAAUUAUUGGGCGUAAAGGGCUUGUAGGCGGUUGGUCGCGUCUGCCGUGAAAUCCUCUGGCUUAACUGGGGGCGUGCGGUGGGUACGGGCUGACUUGAGUGCGGUAGGGGAGACUGGAACUCCUGGUGUAGCGGUGGAAUGCGCAGAUAUCACGAAGAACACCGGUGGCGAAAGCGGGUCUCUGGGCCGUUACUGACGCUGAGGAGCGAGAGCGUGGGAGCGAACAGG